GACGAACGCUGGCGGCGUGCUUAACACAUGCAAGUCGAACGGAGAGGCCCCUUUGGGGGUACUCGAGUGGCGAACGGGUGAGUAACACGUGAGUAACCUGCCCUUGACUUCGGGAUAACUUCAGGAAACUGGGGCUAAUACCGGAUAGGAAUCCUUGCUGCAUGGUGGGGGUUGGAAAGCUUCGGCGGUUUUGGAUGGACUCGCGGCUUAUCAGCUUGUUGGUGGGGUAGUGGCUUACCAAGGCUUUGACGGGUAGCCGGCCUGAGAGGGCGACCGGCCACAUUGGGACUGAGAUACGGCCCAGACUCCUACGGGAGGCAGCAGUGGGGAAUAUUGCACAAUGGGCGGAAGCCUGAUGCAGCAACGCCGCGUGCGGGAUGACGGCCUUCGGGUUGUAAACCGCUUUCAGCAGGGGCGAAGCUUGUGGUGACGGUACCUGCAGAAGAAGCACCGGCUAACUACGU
rnacentral:rRNA from 1 species